AUUGAACGCUGGCGGCAGGCCUAACACAUGCAAGUCGAGCGGAUGAAGGGAGCUUGCUCCUGGAUUCAGCGGCGGACGGGUGAGUAAUGCCUAGGAAUCUGCCUGGUAGUGGGGGAUAACGUCCGGAAACGGGCGCUAAUACCGCAUACGUCCUGAGGGAGAAAGUGCGGGAUCUUCGGACCUCACGCUAUCAGAUGAGCCUAGGUCGGAUUAGCUAGUUGGUGGGGUAAAGGCCUACCAAGGCGACGAUCCGUAACUGGUCUGAGAGGAUGAUCAGUCACACUGGAACUGAGACACGGUCCAGACUCCUACGGGAGGCAGCAGUGGGGAAUAUUGGACAAUGGGCGAAAGCCUGAUCCAGCCAUGCCGCGUGUGUGAAGAAGGUCUUCGGAUUGUAAAGCACUUUAAGUUGGGAGGAAGGGCAGUAAGUUAAUACCUUGCUGUUUUGACGUUACCAACAGAAUAAGCACCGGCUAACUUCGUG
rnacentral:rRNA from 1 species